GCUCUUGGGGGGCGAGGUUGAGAGGGAGGGUGACGCCAAGAAGGGAGAGAAAUACAUGCAUCAAUAGGUUAGGCAACAUAUUUCUCCUCCAGCAAUCCCGUUAUAACGUUGCCUACUCUGUCAAUACGGAGGAGAUAGUGUGAAUUUAAAGAGCCAGGAGAUCUGAUGAAGAUGAAGACAGUCAGUGUGGUGGUGCUGAGCUUGCUGCUCUGCUCAGCUCUGUCAGCCCCUUUGAAAGGUAAAGAAGACUCCCAGAAGACCAUGUUCUUUGGGGAGAACAUC